CAAUUUGGUGCAAAUGCUUUAGAUUGUCAUUUUCUUUUCCUGGAAACCAGCUCAAAGGAAGGCAAAACUGUGGGCUUUUUGAUAUUUAACUUGUUCAUGUGCAACAAAAUUUCAGGGAAAGUGUUCAUAACAAUAAAAUGAUAGCAAUAAGACUUACCACACAAUUGAAUGGAAGGAAUAAGUAAGAUUUGAAUAAGUGUGAAAAGUUGAAUUUCAUUUUGUUUUCAGAACAAAUAAAUUUUCCAUCUCUGCAUACAGGACCACAAAACUUGAAAGCAUUUGAUUGAAUGCCAAACAUAAAAACGCAUUAACCACAAAAACUAGCGUGUGAGUCUAAAAUAGAGAGACAAAAACUACAUACCCCAAGAAAAGUCUGAUUCUUCUGAUUAUAGCUUGUAUAUGCCAUCCACUUGAAUCCAUCCUCUCUCAAUAUCAAUAUUUGGUACGUGAGCAAUCUUGGGCCAAUCAGCCCCCAUUUUGCUUUUGCAUCUUUCU
rnacentral:misc_RNA from 1 species